GACGAACGCUGGCGGCGUGCUUAACACAUGCAAGUCGAACGAAGUGGCGAACGGGUGAGUAAUACGUGGGUAACCUGCCCUCCUUUUUGGGAUAAGCCUUGGAAACGGGGUCUAAUACCGCAUAAAGGGGGCUGGGCUCGCGGCCUAUCAGCUUGUUGGUGGGGUGAUGGCCUACCAAGGCGGUGACGGGUAGCCGGCCUGAGAGGGUGAGCGGGCAAAUUGGGAAUGAGAAACGGCCCAGACUCCUACGGGAGGCAGCAGGGGGUAAUCUUCCGAAGUGGACGAAAGUCUGACGGAGCAACGCCGCGUGUGUGAUGACGGCCUUCGGGUUGUAGAGCUCUGUUGUUGGAGACGCGGUACCGGAAUAGAGAGCCACAGCUAACUACGUGCCAGCAGCCGCGGUAAUAC
rnacentral:rRNA from 1 species